UACGUAGGGCGCAAGCGUUGUCCGGAAUUAUUGGGCGUAAAGAGCUCGUAGGCGGUUUGUCGCGUCUGCUGUGAAAACCUGAGGCUCAACCUCGGGCUUGCAGUGGGUACGGGCAGACUAGAGUGCGGUAGGGGUGACUGGAAUUCCUGGUGUAGCGGUGGAAUGCGCAGAUAUCAGGAGGAACACCGAUGGCGAAGGCAGGUCACUGGGCCGCAACUGACGCUGAGGAGCGAAAGCGUGGGGAGCGAACAGG
rnacentral:rRNA from 1 species